UGGGGAAUAUUGCACAAUGGGGGAAACCCUGAUGCAGCGACGCCGCGUGAGUGAAGAAGUAUUUCGGUAUGUAAAGCUCUAUCAGCAGGGAAGAAAAUGACGGUACCUGACUAAGAAGCCCCGGCUAACUACGUGCCAGCAGCCGCGGUAAUACGUAGGGGGCAAGCGUUAUCCGGAUUUACUGGGUGUAAAGGGAGCGUAGACGGUGCAGCAAGUCUGGAGUGAAAACCCAGGGCUCAACCCUGGGAUUGCUUUGGAAACUGUUGAACUGGAGUGCAGGAGAGGUAAGCGGAAUUCCUAGUGUAGCGGUGAAAUGCGUAGAUAUUAGGAGGAACACCAGUGGCGAAGGCGGCUUACUGGACUGUAACUGACGUUGAGGCUCGAAAGCGUGGGGAGCAAACAGGAUUAGAUACCCUGGUAGU
rnacentral:rRNA from 1 species